rnacentral:rRNA from 1 species
UACGUAGGGCGCAAGCGUUGUCCGGAAUUAUUGGGCGUAAAGAGCUCGUAGGUGGUUUGUUACGUCUGCUGUGAAAACCUAGGGCUUAACCCUGGGCCUGCAGUGGAUACGGGCGGACUAGAGGUAGGUAGGGGAGAAUGGAAUUCCCGGUGUAGCGGUGAAAUGCGCAGAUAUCGGGAGGAACACCGGUGGCGAAGGCGGUUCUCUGGGCCUUACCUGACACUAAGGAGCGAAAGCGUGGGGAGCGAACAGG